rnacentral:rRNA from 1 species
CUCGUAGGCGGCUUGUCGCGUCUGCUGUGAAAUCCCAGGGCUUAACUCUGGGCGUGCAGUGGGUACGGGCAGGCUAGAGUGCGGUAGGGGUGAUUGGAAUUCCUGGUGUAGCGGUGGAAUGCGCAGAUAUCAGGAGGAACACCGAUGGCGAAGGCAGGUCACUGGGCCGUUACUGACGCUGAGGAGCGAAAGCAUGGGAGCGAACA